rnacentral:rRNA from 1 species
UACGGGGGGGGCAAGCGUUGUUCGGAAUUACUGGGCGUAAAGGGCGCGUAGGCGGCCUGCUAAGUCGGACGUGAAAUCCCUCGGCUCAACCGGGGAACUGCGUCCGAUACUGGCGAGGCUUGAAUCCGGGAGAGGGAUGCGGAAUUCCAGGUGUAGCGGUGAAAUGCGUAGAUAUCUGGAGGAACACCGGUGGCGAAGGCGGCAUCCUGGACCGGUAUUGACGCUGAGGCGCGAAAGCCAGGGGAGCAAACGGG